GAACAUGUAGUCCAGUAGGCAGAGCACAUGCCUAGCAUGCAUGAGGUCCUGGGUUCAAUCCCCAGCGCCUCCA
rnacentral:tRNA from 1 species